rnacentral:rRNA from 1 species
AAACCAGCACCUCAAGUGGUCAGGAUGAUUAUUGGGCCUAAAGCAUCCGUAGCCGGUCCUGUAAGUUUUCGGGUAAAUCUGUACGCUCAACGUACAGGCUGCCGGAAAUACUGCAGGACUAGGGAGUGGGAGAGGUAGACGGUACUUGGUAGGAAGGGGUAAAAUCCUUUGAUCUAUUGAUGACCACCUGUGGCGAAGGCGGUCUACCAGAACACGUCCGACGGUGAGGGAUGAAAGCUGGGGGAGCAAACCGGAUUAGAAACCCGAGUAGUCC